rnacentral:rRNA from 1 species
UGGCAAGGUUAAGCCAAGUGCGAAGCCGUAGCGAAAGCGAGUCUUAAUAGGGCGUCGCCCCCACACUUGUUAAUAUUUUAUACUUUGAAGAAUUAUCUUGAAGAAAUAUUAGUAUAGUUUUUUGAAGUGAUAUUUUUAUAUCGCUGAUAAAAAUAGACUGAUAUUUUAAAAAGAGAAUUUUAUUAGAAAAGUAUAUUGUUAAGUUACAUUUUAAAUAAUCAUCUUGAAUAAAAACUUUUAUCACUUUACAAUAGUAAAGUUUCAAAAACUGUUUUAUCCAAUCUAAUCAUUUAAAAGUGUAAUCAAAGCAUAUAAUAUUAAUAAGUGUGGGGGCAUAUAGUCACUGGCUGCAGACCCGAAACUAAGUGAUCUAUCCAUGAGCAGGUUGAAGCUGGUGUAAGAGCCAGUGGAGGACCGAACCCGCUGACGUUGAAAAGUCAUGGGAUGACUUGUGGAUAGGGGUGAAAGGCCAAUCAAACUUAGUGAUAGCUGGUUCUCUCCGAAAUAUAUUUAGGUAUAGCGUCAUGUAGUAGCAUAUAGGGGUAGAGCACUGAAUGGGCUAGGGCUGCUUACCGCGGUACCAAACCCUAUCAAACUUCGAAUACUAUAUGUGUAAUCAUGGCAGUCAGGCGUAGGGUGAUAAAAUCCUAUGUCGAGAGGGGAACAACCCAGACUACCAGCUAAGGUCCCAAAGUCAAAUUUAAGUGGAAAACGAUGUGAAAUUACUGUGACAACCAGGAGGUUGGCUUAGAAGCAGCCACCCUUUAAAGAAAGCGUAACAGCUCACUGGUCUAGUGAUUUUGCGCGGAAAAUAUAACGGGGCUAAAAUUUGCACCGAAGCUGUAGAUUCAGUAUUUAUACUGUCUGGUAGGAGAGCGUUCUAUUUAGCAUUGAAGCCAUACCGGUGAGGAGUGGUGGAGCAAAUAGAAGUGAGCAUGCAGGCAUGAGUAGCGAUAAAAAAAGUGAGAAUCUUUUUCGCCGAAAACCCAAGGUUUCCUACGCGAUGCUCGUCAUCGUAGGGUUAGUCGGGUCCUAAGACAAGUCCGAAAGGGGUAGUCGAUGGCAAAUUGGUUAAUAUUCCAAUACCAACAUUGUAUUGUUUGAGUGAUGGGGGGACGCAUAGAGUUAAUUGAGGUCACUGAUGGAAUAGUGGCUCGAAGGAUGUAGGUUGAUAAGUAGGAAAAUCCGCUUGUCGUGUAACCGAGAUCUUACAGGCUGAACAAUAUCUUCGGAUAGCGUUUAGAAUCAAUGAUACUGUCGUGCCGAGAAAAGCCUCUAAACGAGAUAUAAUGUUGCCCGUACCGUAAACCGACACAGGUGGGUGAGAUGAGUAUUCUAAGGCGCGUGGAAGAACCCUGGUUAAGGAACUCUGCAAACUAGCACCGUAUCUUCGGUAUAAGGUGUGCCUUAUGCGUAAGGGGAUUUACUCCCUGAGCAUAAAGAGGUUGCAACAAAGAGUCCCUCCCGACUGUUUACCAAAAACACAGCACUUUGCUAACUCGUAAGAGGAUGUAUAAGGUGUGACGCCUGCCCGGUGCUUGAAGGUUAAUUGAUGGGGUUAGCACUUCGGUGCGAAGCUCUUGAUCGAAGCCCAAGUAAACGGCGGCCGUAACUAUAACGGUCCUAAGGUAGCGAAAUUCCUUGUCGGUUAAAUACCGACCUGCAUGAAUGGCGUAACGAGAUGGGAGCUGUCUCAACCAGGGAUCCAGUGAAAUUGUAGUGGAGGUGAAAAUUCCUCCUACCCGCGGAAAGACGGAAAGACCCCGUGCACCUUUACUAUAGCUUGGCACUGCUAUUGGGAUAUUCAUGUGCAGGAUAGGUGGGAGACUUUGAUCAUAGGACGCUAGUAAUAUGUGAGUCACCCUUGAGAUACCACCCUUGAAUAUUCUGAUAGCUAACUUUUAGCAGUUAUCCUGCUAGAGGACAAUGCCUGGUGGGUAGUUUGACUGGGGCGGUCGCCUCCUAAAGAGUAACGGAGGCUUACAAAGGUUGGUUCAAACCGGAUGGAAAUCGGUUGUUGAGUAUAAUGGCAUAAACCAGCCUGACUGUAAGACGUACAUGUCAAGCAGAGACGAAAGUCGGUCAUAGUGAUCCGGUGGUCCCGUAUGGAAGGGCCAUCGCUCAAAGGAUAAAAGGUACGCCGGGGAUAACAGGCUGAUCU